CCUACGGGAGGCAGCAGUGGGGAAUAUUGGACAAUGGGGGGAACCCUGAUCCAGCCAUGCCGCGUGUGUGAAGAAGGCCCUCGGGUUGUAAAGCACUUUCAGUGAGGAAGAACGCCUGGUGGUUAAUACCCAUCAGGAAAGACAUCACUCACAGAAGAAGCACCGGCUAACUCCGUGCCAGCAGCCGCGGUAAUACGGAGGGUGCGAGCGUUAAUCGGAAUUACUGGGCGUAAAGCGCGCGUAGGUGGCUUGACAAGCCGGUUGUGAAAGCCCCGGGCUCAACCUGGGAACGGCAUCCGGAACUGUCAAGCUAGAGUGCAGGAGAGGAAGGUAGAAUUCCCGGUGUAGCGGUGAAAUGCGUAGAGGUCGGGAGGAAUACCAGUGGCGAAGGCGGCCUUCUGGACUGACACUGACACUGAGGUGCGAAAGCGUGGGUAGCAAACAGGAUUAGAUACCCUUGUAGUC
rnacentral:rRNA from 1 species